rnacentral:rRNA from 1 species
GAUGAACGCUGGCGGCGUGCCUAAUACAUGCAAGUCGAGCGAACAGACGAGGAGUUUGCUCCGCUGACGUUAGCGGCGGACGGGUGAGUAACACGUGGAUAACCUACCUAUAAGACUGAGAUAACUUCGGGAAACCGGAUCUAAUACCGGAUAAUAUAUCGAACCGCAUGGUUCAGUAGUGAAAGACGGUUUUGCUGUCACUUAUAGAUGGAUCCGCGGCGGAUGAGCUAGUUGGUAAGGAAACGGCUUACCAAGGCAACGGUGGGUAGCCGGCCUGGGAGGGUGGACGGCGACAAUGGGCCUGAGAGACGGCCCAGAAGCCUACGGGAGGCAGCAGGGGGGAACAUUGCAGAGUGGGGGCAAGCCAGAUGCAGCGACGCCGGGUGCGUGAAGCCGGCUUACGAGGUGAAAACACCUGUCAAAAUAGAUGAACACGUCUUGACGGUACCUGAACAAGAAGCAACGGCUAACUACGUG